GAUGAACGCUGGCGGCGUGCCUAAUACAUGCAAGUCGAGCGAACAGACGAGGAGCUUGCUCCUCUGACGUUAGCGGCGGACGGGUGAGUAACACGUGGAUAACCUACCUAUAAGACUGGGAUAACUUCGGGAAACCGGAGCUAAUACCGGAUAAUAUAUUGAACCGCAUGGUUCAAUAGUGAAAGACGGUUUUGCUGUCACUUAUAGAUGGAUCCGCGCCGCAUUAGCUAGUUGGUAAGGUAACGGCUUACCAGGGCAACGAUGUGUAGCCGACCUGAGAGGGUGAUCGGCCACACUGGAACUGAGACACGGUCCAGACUCCUACGGGAGGCAGCAGUAGGGAAUCUUCCGCAAUGGGCGAAAGCCUGACGGAGCAACGCCGCGUGAGUGAUGAAGGUCUUCGGAUCGUAAAACUCUGUUAUUAGGGAAGAACAAAUGUGUAAGUAACUAUGCACGUCUUGACGGUACCUAAUCAGAAAGCCACGGCUAACUACGUG
rnacentral:rRNA from 1 species